CCCUCCCUCCUUUCCUUUCCUUUCCUUCCCCUUCCCCUUCCCCUUCCUGUGGAAGGAAGGAAGAACUGUGGAAGGAAGGAAGGAAGGAAGGAAGGAAGGAAGGGAGGAAGGG